AGUGAACGCUGGCGGCAAGCCUAACACAUGCAAGUCGAGCGGCAGCGCGGGGGCAACCCUGGCGGCGAGCGGCGGACGGGUGAGGAAUUCGUCGGAAUCUGCCUUUUUGUGGGGGAUAACGUAGGGAAACUUACGCUAAUACCGCAUACGUCCUACGGGAGAAAGUGGGGGACCGCAAGGCCUCACGCAGAAAGAUGAGCCGACGACCGAUUAGCUAGUUGGUGGGGUAAAGGCCCACCAAGGCGACGAUCGGUAGCUGGUCUGAGAGGAUGAUCAGCCACACUGGGACUGAGACACGGCCCAGACUCCUACGGGAGGCAGCAGUGGGGAAUAUUGGACAAUGGGCGCAAGCCUGAUCCAGCCAUGCCGCGUGUGUGAAGAAGGCCUUCGGGUUGUAAAGCACUUUUGUCCGGAAAGAAAUCCCUGGAGCUAAUACCUUCGGGGGAUGACGGUACCGGAAGAAUAAGCACCGGCUAACUUCGUG
rnacentral:rRNA from 1 species